AUCGAAGGCGGCCUCGGUCUCGUUCAGCUGUGCCAGGAGCCUGGGCAGGGGCUGCAGAAAAGCGCUGUUCGCUCUGAGAAAUUUUCCUGCCCAGAACAGCCACUUUCUUCAGGAUAUGGAAGAAGAGCAUUUCAGUGAGCCACUGAAGGACGGCAGGUGUUGGAAGACUCCCCCAACUGUGGCUGGGGCACAGCUAAGGCUACAGGUCGCUCAGGGUCGGUGGAUGAGGCACAUAGAUCCCGCUGCUGAAGGUGGAAAACACUCCCUCUCCUGCCUCCUCUCUGCUUUGGUCCCCGAUUCUUCAACAUGGAAGCGGUCACGUGAGAAGGCGUUAAACGACCUACACAAACACAUACUUUGACCACAAAGAGCAGUAAUUAAACCUUCUCUGGGUUGGAACCAACUCUCUGAACUGAGAGCUGGGGAAAUACCAACAUUAAAGUCAUAUUUUAAAAACAGAGGUAACAGG